ACGCGUCAGUGGUCCGGUUCGGUUUCCGUACGCUGUCCACGCAAGCCUGACAACCGCUCGCUGCAUUGUGUUCGCC
rnacentral:sRNA from 1 species